GAUGAACGCUGGCGGCGUGCUUAACACAUGCAAGUCGAACGGUGAACACGGAGCUUGCUCUGUGGGAUCAGUGGUGAACGGGUGAGUAACACGUGAGCAACCUGCCCCUGACUCUGGGAUAAGCGCUGGAAACGGCGUCUAAUACUGGAUAUGUGACGUGACCGCAUGGUCUGCGUUUGGAAAGAUUUUUCGGUUGGGGAUGGGCUCGCGGCCUAUCAGCUUGUUGGUGAGGUAAUGGCUCACCAAGGCGUCGACGGGUAGCCGGCCUGAGAGGGUGACCGGCCACACUGGGACUGAGACACGGCCCAGACUCCUACGGGAGGCAGCAGUGGGGAAUAUUGCACAAUGGGCGCAAGCCUGAUGCAGCAACGCCGCGUGAGGGAUGACGGCCUUCGGGUUGUAAACCUCUUUUAGCAGGGAAGAAGCGAAAGUGACGGUACCUGCAGAAAAAGCGCCGGCUAACUACGUG
rnacentral:rRNA from 1 species